UGUUGCCAGCAAGUAAUAGUUGGGGACGUCAGAUGGAACUGCCGGUGACAAACCGGAGGAAGGUGGGGACGACGUCAAGUCAUCAUGGCCCUUAUGUCCUGGGCUACACACGUGCUACAAUGGCCGGUACAGAGCGCAGCGAAGCCGCGAGGCAAAGCGAAUCGCAAAAAGCCGGUCUCAGUACGGAUUGGAGUCUGAAACCCGACUCCAUGAAGUUGGAAUCGCUAGUAAUCGCGCAUCAGCAUGGCGCGGUGAAUACGUUCCCGGGCCUU
rnacentral:rRNA from 1 species